AUGUACAAUAAUUCCAGAGAGAGGCACCAACCGCAGCUAACACAGGGAUCAAUGGCCGCGUCGGGAGACGACGACAUGGCCGAGCUCGUGAUCUCCUCGCUCCCGCUCGAGACACGGUGUCUGCCGUCCCCGCUGAGGCAGCACGGCGGCUUCUGGUUCUCGGAGCCAUUUCUCCAGGGCAUGGUGGCCGCACACGCACGGUUCAAGGCAAGGCCAUCUGACAUCCUCCUUGUUAGCUUCCCCAAGUCCGGCACCACCUGGCUCAAGGCACUCGCCCUCGCCACGCUCCACCGCACCGACCACCCGCCGCGCGGCCUCGACCACCCGCCGCGCGGCCUCGACCACCCGCUCCGCCGCCACAAUCCCCACGACUGCGUCGAGUUUCUUGAGAAGGCCUUCGCCAUGUCUUUGGCUGCGGAGGACAGCGGCGGUGACGUGCUCGCGGCGCUCCCUUCGCCGCGCCUGCUCGCCACCCACAUGCCUUACACGCACAUGCCGAAGAGCGUCACGGCGGAGGGCACCGGGUGUAAGAUCGUGUACAUCUGCCGCGACCCAAAAGACGCGCUCGUCUCCAUGUGGCAAUUCACCAAGAAGAGAUUGGCAUUCGCCGUGGCGGCUCUAGAUGAUCCACCGAAGCCAUACACAAUCGAUGAGAUGUUCGAGCUCUUCUGCGACGGCAGAUGCACCUGCGGCCCGCAAUGGCACCACAUCCUCGGCUACUGGGAGGCGAGCCGGAGGCAGCCGGAGAAGGUGCUCUUCCUCCGGUACGAGGAGAUGCUCCUGGACCCGGUGGGCAACGUGAGGAAGCUGGCAGAGUUCAUGGGGUGCGCGUUCUAG
rnacentral:rRNA from 1 species